AACCUCAAAUAUAUUAUGGAGUAAAUAUGCUUACGGGUGUCUGACUGCCUUGCCGAAUUCCUAAUAUUUUGGUCCUAAGAUAAUUGGUGUAAAAUUAUAAGCGUGAUAAAACAUAACGGGCUUAAAAUUCAAAAGGGAGAAUGCUUAUUUAUCAUUUUUCUGUAUCCUUUAAAUUAUUUUGGUUGACAUAAAUCAUUAACUGCAAUCUUUCUUAUAACAUCAUAAUUCUGUAAUGAUUUUUUACUAAUUGAGGAUUAAUUUUGAAGUCCUUGAGUCUAUUAGUGUAGGUUCCAAAGAUUCAAAUUUCAAAAUAUUAAUGGUUCCUGUAUGUGAGGUUUGAAAUGGAUCUGGAAAAACUCCCAAUAAAUAUAAUCAGUUGUGUUGUAAUAGAGUAAUUUCCAGUUUCUUAAGUAUAAAACUUUUAUAUUUGACAAUCUAAUAUUUUUAUUUGUAAUUUAUUAUCUUAGAUUUCUACUAUUUUACUGGUUUUGUACUUUACUGUUGGUCCUUAUUGCACAAUGAGCACACUUUAUCAUAUUGUGCUCUUAUCAGAUUGGAAGACUUUUCUUCUGUUAGACUGAUAUAGCUGUAGAUGUUGUUGAAUUUCUUUUCUUUGGCCUUAGAUUAUCCUAGUAGAUGUAAUUUUAAUUUCAUUAUGUUUCUUGAAUUUUAUCUACAUAGGAGAAAAAUAACCUUUACCAUUUGAGUUUUGUAGAAUGUUCCCUAUGUAUUUGUCCCAUCAAAACAAGCACUUGGGCGAGCAUGUGGUGUCACACGGCCAGUGAUUGCAUGUUCCGUAACAACUAAUGAAGGAAGUCAACUGAAAUCCCAAAUUCAGCAACUAAAGGAUGCUAUUGAGAAGCUUUUGAUCUGAAAAUUUGAUAUUCGGUAUGACGGGCUUCUUGAGUUGUGCUGAUUGCUUCUUCAGAGGCUUUGACUGGACGAAUUGUCGUGUUCAACAGGCAAAGGUGUUUUAUGUGUAAACCUACAUUUAUAUAGAUCUAUGUUGCGAAAGAUUGUUUGAAAGUAAUUAUGUACUGAUGUUUUACACUGCUACUGUAAAAUGUUUGAUGCUAUGUAUGUGGGGGUGCUCUUAUGAAAUUUUGACUUGAUGA